rnacentral:rRNA from 1 species
UACGGAGGGUGCGAGCGUUAUCCGGAAUUACUGGGUUUAAAGGGUGCGUAGGCGGCCAAGUAAGUCAGGAGUGAAAGUUUGCGGCUCAACCGUAAAAUUGCUUUUGAUACUGCUAGGCUAGAAUUAGGAUGAGGUCAGCGGAAUGUGGCAUGUAGCGGUGAAAUGCAUAGAUAUGCCAUAGAACACCAAUUGCGAAGGCAGCUGGCUAGACCUGGAUUGACGCUGAGGUGCGAAAGCGUGGGGAGCAAACAGG